GACGAACGCUGGCGGCGUGCUUAAUACAUGCAAGUCGAGCGGACAGGCCAUGCUUUUGUGGCGCGCUCGUGUGGCGAACGCGUGAGUAACACGUGUGUAUACUGUCCCUGAAUUUGUGAUAUCUUCAGGAGAAAGGGGCUCUUACCGGAUAGAAUCUUCUGCUGCAUGGUGUGGGUUAGUAAGUUUCGGUGGUUGGGGAUGGACUCGCGGCUUAUCCGCUUGUUGGUGGAGUAGUGGCUUUCCAAGGUUUUGACGGGUAGCAGGCCUGAGAGGGUGAGCAGCCACAUUGGGACUGAGGUGCGGCCCAGACACCUACGGGAGGCAGCAGUGGGGAAUACUGCACGAUGGGCGGAGGCCGGAUGCAGCAACUCCGCGUACGGUAUAACGGCCUUCGGAUUGUAGACCGCUUUCGCCUGUGACGAAGCGUGAGUGACGGUAAUGGGUAAAGAAGCACCGGCUAACUACGUG
rnacentral:rRNA from 1 species